UGGGGAAUAUUGCACAAUGGGCGCAAGCCUGAUGCAGCAACGCCGCGUGAGGGACGACGGCCUUCGGGCUGUAAACCUCUUUUAGUAGGGAAGAAGCGAAAGUGACGGUACCUGCAGAAAAAGCACCGGCUAACUACGUGCCAGCAGCCGCGGUAAUACGUAGGGUGCGAGCGUUGUCCGGAAUUAUUGGGCGUAAAGAGCUCGUAGGCGGUCUGUCGCGUCUGCUGUGAAAACCCGAGGCUCAACCUCGGGCCUGCAGUGGGUACGGGCAGACUAGAGUGCGGUAGGGGAGAAUGGAAUUCCUGGUGUAGCGGUGGAAUGCGCAGAUAUCAGGAGGAACACCGAUGGCGAAGGCAGUUCUCUGGGCCGUAACUGACGCUGAGGAGCGAAAGCGUGGGGAGCGAACAGGAUUAGAUACCCUGGUAGUCCACGCCGUAAACGUUGGGCGCUAGAUGUGGGG
rnacentral:rRNA from 1 species